rnacentral:rRNA from 2 species
UGCCUAAUACAUGCAAGUCGAACGAACUCUGGUAUUGAUUGGUGCUUGCAUCAUGAUUUACAUUUGAGUGAGUGGCGAACUGGUGAGUAACACGUGGGAAACCUGCCCAGAAAGCGGGGGAUAACACCUGGAAACAGAUGCUAAUACCGCAUAACAACUUGGACCGCAUGGUCCGAGUUUGAAAGAUGGCUUCGGCUAUCACUUUUGGAUGGUCCCGCGGCGUAUUAGCUAGAUGGUGGGGUAACGGCUCACCAUGGCAAUGAUACGUAGCCGACCUGAGAGGGUAAUCGGCCACAUUGGGACUGAGACACGGCCCAAACUCCUACGGGAGGCAGCAGUAGGGAAUCUUCCACAAUGGACGAAAGUCUGAUGGAGCAACGCCGCGUGAGUGAAGAAGGGUUUCGGCUCGUAAAACUCUGUUGUUAAAGAAGAACAUAUCUUGAGAGUAACUGUUCAGGUAUUGACGGUAUUUAACCAGAAAGCCACGGCUAACUACGUGCCAGCAGCCGCGGUAAUACUUAGGUGGCAAGCGUUGUUCCGGAUUUAUUGGGCGUAAAGCGAGCGCAGGCGGUUUUUUAAGUCUGAUGUGAAAGCCUUCGGCUCAACCGAAGAAAGUGCAUCGGAAACUGGGAAACUUGAGUGCAGAAGAGGACAGUGGAACUCCAUGUGUAGCGGUGAAAUGCGUAGAUAUAUGGAAGAACACCAGUGGCGAAGGCGGCUGUCUGGUCUGUAACUGACGCUGAGGCUCGAAAGUAUGGGUAGCAAACAGGAUUAGAUACCCUGGUAGUCCAUACCGUAAACGAUGAAUGCUAAGUGUUGGAGGGUUUCCGCCCUUCAGUGCUGCAGCUAACGCAUUAAGCAUUCCGCCUGGGGAGUACGGCCGCAAGGCUGAAACUCAAAGGAAUUGACGGGGGCCCGCACAAGCGGUGGAGCAUGUGGUUUAAUUCGAAGCUACGCGAAGAACCUUACCAGGUCUUGACAUACUAUGCAAAUCUAAGAGAUUAGACGUUCCCUUCGGGGACAUGGAUACAGGUGGUGCAUGGUUGUCGUCAGCUCGUGUCGUGAGAUGUUGGGUUAAGUCCCGCAACGAGCGCAACCCUUAUUAUCAGUUGCCAGCAUUAAGUUGGGCACUCUGGUGAGACUGCCGGUGACAAACCGGAGGAAGGUGGGGAUGACGUCAAAUCAUCAUGCCCCUUAUGACCUGGGCUACACACGUGCUACAAUGGAUGGUACAACGAGUUGCGAACUCGCGAGAGUAAGCUAAUCUCUUAAAGCCAUUNUCAGUUCGGAUUGUAGGCUGCAACUCGGCCUACAUGAAGUCGGAAUCGCUAGUAAUCGCGGAUC